GCCCGGCUGGCACAAUCGGUAGCGCGUGAGACUCUUACUUAACAAGUAAUCUCAAGGUUGUGGGUUCGAGCCCCACGUUGGGCU